rnacentral:lncRNA from 1 species
AGUCCCAGCCCACCAGAGUCCCUCCGGGAGAGAGCAGCGCGCAGAUCCUUCAGUGUUUGUGAGUGGGAUAGAGAGAGUGAGAGAAGGCGGUGUGUCAUUCUGGCAGGACGCACAGGAGAAACAACUGGACUUGUUGAAGCUGCUCUGAUUUUCUUCGUAAUAGUUUGUUUAGCGGUGCUCGCGGAUACAAAAACAUUAUUGGUUUUAGUCGUUUGAUGUUGCAACGCGUCGCAUGCUGCCGAUUCCCACUGGCGUGAACGCGCGCAAAGUGCCGGGAGACACAACAAACACGGUAGGACAAGUUUGGCACUUUUAUUAUGAAGGAAAGACACAAGGCCCUGCUUGUGUCCGCACAGAAGUAUCACCUCCUUGUCGAUGGCGUGGAUCGGUACACACGGAUCUGAG